rnacentral:rRNA from 1 species
AGCGUACACGGUGGAUGCCCUGGCAGUCAGAGGCGAUGAAGGACGUGCUAAUCUGCGAAAAGCGCCGGUAAGGUGAUAUGAACCGUUAUAACCGGCGAUGUCCGAAUGGGGAAACCCGGUGCACUUCGGUGCAUCAUCGUUAGCUGAAUACAUAGGCUAACGAGGCGAACCGGGGGAACUGAAACAUCUAAGUACCCCGAGGAAAAGAAAUCAACCGAGAUUCCCCCAGUAGCGGCGAGCGAACGGGGAACAGCCCAGAGCCUGAAUCAGCUUGUGUGUCAGUGGAACGGUCUGGAAAGGCCGGCGAUACAGGGUGACAGCCCCGUACACGAAGGCACACAGGCUGUGAGCUCGAUGAGUAGGGCGGGACACGUGAUAUCCUGUCUGAAGAUGGGGGGACCAUCCUCCAAGGCUAAAUACUCCUGACUGACCGAUAGUGAACCAGUACCGUGAGGGAAAGGCGAAAAGAACCCCGGCGAGGGGAGUGAAACAGAACCUGAAACCGUGUACGUACAAGCAGUGGGAGCCUUCGUAAGAGGGUGACUGCGUACCUUUUGUAUAAUGGGUCAGCGACUUAUAUUCUGUAGCAAGGUUAACCGUAUAGGGGAGCCGAAGGGAAACCGAGUCUUAACCGGGCGUUAAGUUGCAGGGUAUAGACCCGAAACCCGGUGAUCUAGCCAUGGGCAGGUUGAAGGUUGGGUAACACUAACUGGAGGACCGAACCGACUAAUGUUGAAAAAUUAGCGGAUGACCUGUGGCUGGGGGUGAAAGGCCAAUCAAACCGGGAGAUAGCUGGUUCUCCCCGAAAGCUAUUUAGGUAGCGCCUCGUGAAUUCAUCUCCGGGGGUAGAGCACUGUUUCGGCUAGGGGGCCAUCCCGGCUUACCAACCCGAUGCAAACUGCGAAUACCGGAGAAUGUUAUCACGGGAGACACACGGCGGGUGCUAACGUCCGUCGUGAAGAGGGAAACAACCCAGACCGCCAGCUAAGGUCCCAAAGUCAUGGUUAAGUGGGAAACGAUGUGGGAAGGCCCAGACAGCCAGGAUGUUGGCUUAGAAGCAGCCAUCAUUUAAAGAAAGCGUAAUAGCUCACUGGUCGAGUCGGCCUGCGCGGAAGAUGUAACGGGGCUAAACCAUGCACCGAAGCUGCGGCAGCGACACUAUGUGUUGUUGGGUAGGGGAGCGUUCUGUAAGCCUGCGAAGGUGUGCUGUGAGGCAUGCUGGAGGUAUCAGAAGUGCGAAUGCUGACAUAAGUAACGAUAAAGCGGGUGAAAAGCCCGCUCGCCGGAAGACCAAGGGUUCCUGUCCAACGUUAAUCGGGGCAGGGUGAGUCGACCCCUAAGGCGAGGCCGAAAGGCGUAGUCGAUGGGAAACAGGUUAAUAUUCCUGUACUUGGUGUUACUGCGAAGGGGGGACGGAGAAGGCUAUGUCGGCCGGGCGACGGUUGUCCCGGUUUAAGCGUGUAGGCUGACUUUCCAGGCAAAUCCGGAAGGUUAAGGCUGAGGCGUGAUGACGAGGCACCACGGUGCUGAAGUGACAAAUGCCCUGCUUCCAGGAAAAGCCUCUAAGCAUCAGGUAACAUCAAAUCGUACCCCAAACCGACACAGGUGGUCAGGUAGAGAAUACCAAGGCGCUUGAGAGAACUCGGGUGAAGGAACUAGGCAAAAUGGUGCCGUAACUUCGGGAGAAGGCACGCUGACAUGUAGGUGAAGCCCCUGCGGGUGGAGCUGAAGUCAGUCGAAGAUACCAGCUGGCUGCAACUGUUUAUUAAAAACACAGCACUGUGCAAACACGAAAGUGGACGUAUACGGUGUGACGCCUGCCCGGUGCCGGAAGGUUAAUUGAUGGGGUUAUCGCAAGAGAAGCUCCUGAUCGAAGCCCCGGUAAACGGCGGCCGUAACUAUAACGGUCCUAAGGUAGCGAAAUUCCUUGUCGGGUAAGUUCCGACCUGCACGAAUGGCGUAAUGAUGGCCAGGCUGUCUCCACCCGAGACUCAGUGAAAUUGAACUCGCUGUGAAGAUGCAGUGUACCCGCGGCAAGACGGAAAGACCCCGUGAACCUUUACUACAGCUUGACACUGAACAUUGAGCCUUGAUGUGUAGGAUAGGUGGGAGGCUUUGAAGCGUGGACGCCAGUCUGCGUGGAGCCGACCUUGAAAUACCACCCUUUAAUGUUUGAUGUUCUAACCUGGCGCCGUGAUCCGGCGUGGGGACAGUGUCUGGUGGGUAGUUUGACUGGGGCGGUCUCCUCCCAAAGUGUAACGGAGGAGCACGAAGGUCAGCUAAUCCUGGUCGGACAUCAGGAGGUUAGUGCAAUGGCAUAAGCUGGCUUGACUGCGAGAGUGACGGCUCGAGCAGGUGCGAAAGCAGGUCAUAGUGAUCCGGUGGUUCUGUAUGGAAGGGCCAUCGCUCAACGGAUAAAAGGUACUCCGGGGAUAACAGGCUGAUACCGCCCAAGAGUUCAUAUCGACGGCGGUGUUUGGCACCUCGAUGUCGGCUCAUCACAUCCUGGGGCUGAAGUAGGUCCCAAGGGUAUGGCUGUUCGCCAUUUAAAGUGGUACGCGAGCUGGGUUUAGAACGUCGUGAGACAGUUCGGUCCCUAUCUGCCGUGGGCGCUGGAGAAUUGAGGGGGGCUGCUCCCAGUACGAGAGGACCGGAGUGGACGCAUCACUGGUGUUCGGGUUGUCAUGCCAAUGGCACUGCCCGGUAGCUAAAUGCGGAAGAGAUAAGUGCUGAAAGCAUCUAAGCACGAAACUUGCCCCGAGAUGAGUUCU